rnacentral:rRNA from 1 species
UACAGAGGGUGCAAGCGUUGUUCGGAAUUAUUGGGCGUAAAGGGCGUGUAGGCGGUUUUCUAAGUCUUCUGUGAAAUCUACGGGCUUAGCCUGUAACGUGCAGAGGAAACUGGAAGGCUUGAGUGUCGGAGAGGAUAGGGGAAUACCCAGUGUAGAGGUGAAAUUCGUAGAUAUUCGCAGGAACACCAGUGGCGAAGGCGGCUUACUGGUCCAUUACUGACGCUGAGGUGCGAAAGCGUGGGGAGCAAACAGG